UACGUAGGAAGCAAGCGUUAUCCGGAUUUACUGGGCGUAAAGUGGGCGUAGGCGGCUCGUCAAGUCGGAUGUGAAAUCUCUUGGCUUAACCGGGAGGGGUCAUCCGAUACUGUCGGGCUAGAGGACAGCAGGGGAAGGUGGAAUUCCCGGUGUAGUGGUGAAAUGCGUAGAUAUCGGGAGGAACACCAGUGGCGAAGGCGGCCUUCCAGGCUGUUUCUGACGCUGAGGCCCGAAAGUGUGGGGAG
rnacentral:rRNA from 1 species